GUCUAUGUCCAUACCACCGUGAACCCCCCCGAUCUCAUCUGGUCUCGGAAGCUAAGCAGGGUCGGGCCUGGUUGGUACUUGGAUGGGAGAACUAAUUUUUCCCUUGCUGAUUGUUU
rnacentral:rRNA from 1 species